UUUUGUUAUUUUAAACGUGAUUACGUUUUAUAUGUGUUUCGCACGCGCAAGGCAUCAAAUGCCUCGUAUUCCGUGUUCUCUCGUACUCUCGUAUUCCGGACGAUAUUUGCACGUUAUUCUACCAAACAAAUGUUAACCGCGUUUGUUUACGUCGUACAUGCAAAUCGAAAGAUCUCGGUAGCAACCUGCUAAUGGCGCCAACUGUUACGAUGCACGGAAUGCAAUGCAAAUGUGACCACUUCCGUUUAUCGUACACAUGGCAGUCAUGCUGUAAAGUCGUCUGCAUCUUUAAUGGAAACUUGUAAAGAUCGCAAACAACUCUCUGUUUCCUCGUGUCCUCAACCGGAAUCGUGAUUUAAGUAAUUCUUUUAAUUUCGAUAAAUACAAGACAAAUUUGUAACGUUGUUUGUGCAAUAAAACUCAAGAUUCUCGAUUGACGAAAUUUUAUUCGAGGAUCUCUGCAUUCGCCACACCUACAUGAUUUUCUGUCCGUAUCGAGUAACGAUGUGUCUCGGCGAAUCACGAUCAAUUUCGAAAGAGCGCCCGCGUCAUGCCGGACUGGUCGACAUAUAAUUUACGACAUGAUGGAGAUAGCCCGGGUGGAGCACGAGAUCGACGCCGCGCCAACAUGAAAAUCGAAAUUUGUGACGUUUCUGAUGUGUUCCGCUUCGCAGCAGCUCGUGCUACUCUAACAAAAUUGCGGUUCACUGACACGCGCGCGCGCCGUUGCUCUAUGGCUUGAUCGGCUAUGAAUUAUGUCAUCUAUCCGAUCGAUUAUGCAUGUCGCACGUUCGUACGAGCGGCAUGCCGUUAUCUGUUAGAUACAUUGAAUCUUAAAUGCCUUAGCGUUCGUUAGAGUACUUUCGUAUCGACGCAUCGACGGAUACCAAUCUCAGACACGUCACGGCCCGCGGUUGUGAAAUGUUAGAGCGGCCUUUUUCCUCCCCGGCAAUAAAUCCAACGAGAAACGGAAUUUGUUUAUAAUUCUGAUGAGAGCACGGAAUUGUCUUUCACGUUUUGUGUCGCCGCGAAUGUAAAUUACACCCGUGAUGCAUUAGAUCACCGAGGUGUAAAUUGCACCCACGCACACGCGGCCAUUUCCGAGUUAACAAUAACAUCCGCCUGACGGAUAUGCAAAUUUUCAUUGUUUAUGCGCACAUUCAUGAUCUCAUUGUACCUGCUCAAAUUAUUAUUCGAUUUUAUCCAUCUUCGCGCGGGAGGGUUGUAUAUUUCCAAAAUUUACGUAGUCAUGGAAAUUGCAUUUGCAAACGCGAUUACGCGAAGCCGCCGAUAAACAGAAAGAUACAUUCUCCAUGCACAUCUGAAUGUAAAUCGAAGAUUAACAACAGAUUUCCGCGAAUCUCCUUCCAAUUUCUUUUUCACGGCACGAUCACGGUAAUUGCAAAUCGAUCUGCGGCGUCCCACCUGGUGGUUUUGCAUAAAUGGGAGAACGAGUUCGCGCAAACAUUAACGAAUUCUUUAUCCAACCUUAUCAAACGCGAUAUGAUUAAUUAAUGCACGUUCCGCAAAAUUGUAUCAGCGCGAUUGUGACAUAAAAUUAUGAUAACCGGAACGCAAGCACGUACACCACGUACAGGAACGCGCGACAUUAUCCUACAUCAAAUAUAUAAAAAUGCGUUGUCACGCGGCGAGCAACAAUGCAGCCGGAUGAAACGUAUAAAUGCAGGUAAUUUUCUUUGUGGCUCGUGAGCAGAAUACCGGUCGUGUAUUAGUCGUAGUUGAAAAAUAGCUCGGUCGGCAUUCACCGGGCGCGAUAGUCCGCGGUUAGGGUGGCGAAUGUAAUUUUUCUCGUUACAUGGCAAACGACCUGCGCGUUCGUACAUCGCGGCGCAUUACAGAGCGCAUCGGAUUACGACGAUUACAUUAUACGUGCAAUUUUCUUGAUAUGUUGCAGAGCACAUCAAUCACGUGCGGACGAUCGCCGGGGUGGAUCAUGUCGGCAUCGGAGCUGGAUAUGACGGGAUCAAUUUGACACCAACGGGUCUGGAGGACGUCAGCAAGUACCCGGAGCUCUUCGCGGAAUUGCUAGCGCGUGGCUGGACGGAAAGAGAGAUUCAGAAGCUGGCUGGUCUGAAUCUUAUACGAGUGUUCAAGGCGGUAGAACAGAUACGCGAUGAGCUGGCCGAGGCGGGUAUGGAGCCGCUGGAGGAAGAGAUCCCGCACGAGGACAUAGUCGGCCGCGAUUAUUGCCGCUACAACAUAAAGCACCUGAUGGCGCCUUAAUCUGUCCUCUCGGUCGCGAACGUCGCGAAAACGCAAACGAUUCCACGUUCGAAGCGGAAAUGGAAGGAGAGGCGACCGCAGAGAGGAAAGAAACGGAUCACUGCCCCAGCGGGAGUAAAACUCACCCCCUUUACACACAAUCCCCCUUCUCUCCUCCCUCAAAUUUGCGACCCCUCGCAUCUCUCAGAAACGGCUCGACAUUCUCGCUGCUCACACAUGCACACUCGCCCUCUCUUCUCCUCCACCUUUCUCUAUCUUUCUCUCGAUCCUACUCGACGUUACCCACGAUUCUCAUCUUUGUACGUAAGUAGAUAGAUAAACUCGAUUUCCGUCGGAGAUCCGUGAGAUGCGAGCGUUCGCGAAGGAUAUCGAGCGAGAUGGCCAGUGAAACGUCGGUACCGCGGCUGGCAGGCUUGAUGUCGCGAAUAAAAAUCACACUCACACUCGACACCAGCUAACGCAAAGUUAUUCCUAGAGAAUAAGCAGCAUCUGCAGUUUUCAUAUUUCGAUUCUGUUUCUCAUUUUAUUCGCCUUAAAUCUAGAUUAGAGAUAAUUUUCAUUGUAAUUAUUAUAAAAUAUUUAUUUGAUAAUUAUAUUCAGUAAAUUUUAGCUAUAGGAGCACAAUGAAAAUCUCGAAGAAAAAUUGCGAUGAGAUUGAUUAAUCGUACAGCUACUUGAUAUUAGGGAUUAAUUUAGAUAACAUUUAAUUUUACGCAUUCUAAUUUUUGACCCGCAUCAAUCAACUUGUCUUACACCUGUAAUAAUUUUCAUUGUAUUUAUUAAUUAUCCAGCCUAAUUGAUAAUAUAGCGACAAUAAUAAUGGCGCUAAUGCAGCGUUGGUAUAUUAAUUUGAAAUUAGUGUACUAUUGUAACGCUAUUGAUUAUCCGAACAAGCCAUUGCCGAGCUAUUGUAGAUUUAAUUACUUGUUCCAGAGAAAAUCAAAUGUACGCUGUACGAUGAAAUACAUGCGAAUCAGCCUGUGUGCUUUAUAGCGCGGCAACUUGUAAAUUGCAUUUGAUAGUAAGUUAAAAUAAGAUAUUUUGCCCACGCAUUCGCUUGCCUGUUUCUAUUCUUUCUAUUAUUAAUUUGCUUGAAAAAAUGCAGUCGGAAUUAAAUUGGGAAUAAGUCUUGAGGACGAGUGGGAAGGAAGGAUUUUCUAGAAUAUUGAAAAAUCAUCGUGGCACCACGGCUGUCUAAUUAAUUUUAGCGUUGCGGUACUGAUACGUGCACUCGCCAUGUAAUGAUUGAACGAAAAAGCGUGUCUCGCGUGCUUCGUUGAUGAAAGAGCCAGCUGGCCAUCAGUCGAGCUGUCGAUACGAAAUGUUGAAGGAUGGCCAAAAACGAAGAGCGAAACGUCGAAAACUAGCGUACGACAACGAGACACGCAUCUUAUCACUGCGAUACGAAGACCAACGCGUUUGUAUAAAUGUUUAACGAUUUAGCCACGGGCAUACUUGAUGUUAAAAUUUGUACUCAGCGAUUUCCUCGUCGAAGCCGGAACCAAAAACUGUCCUAGUCAAUAAUUAAGUUACAUUUGCAACCAUGAUCGAUUACGUGCGACGAAACUGACGAUUAAUUAUUAUUCGAGAUACGAGUGGAUGUUCAUUGAGAAUGCGAAACGGUAAACGAGAGUGACCAUAGCGUGUGAAUGAAUGUGUGUGUAUAUGUGCGAAUGACAACUUGUACAUAUGGUACCUGAAGUCGAAAAACAUAUUAUUCCUCCUGCACAUUGUCAAGCCGGCCAUGUCGGAUCGAAGAACCGGGUCAUCGAGUGUGUCCUCGAUUCUUUUUAGUCUAGACGCGAAAUGCACGCGAAAUCGCGUCGACGGAUUGUUAAAAAAUUCACGCGUCUCGAUUGUCGGGCCGGUACUCGGGCGGCUUUUCUCGGAACUGAUCUUCCUUUAGCCUCGCCGACCGCGAUUCGGGAUGAUAGGCUUGACCGAUUAUGAUCUUCAAGGAGCUCACGAACGAGGCUAAUCGCGAAGCAGCUCCCUCGUGGCGUCGACCAAGUCGGCAAAUUACGUAACUUGGUACUGUGUGUAAACCUUUCCUACGAUUUUGCACGAUCGAAGUUGACGUCGGUACGUAAUAUCGAUGUAAUAUCGAAUUGAGCCAUCGUUUUUUAAUUCUAUAGAGUCGCAGAAUUUUUUAUCUCACGCGGUUCCGCUCUCGCAUGGACUGUUUUGCACUGAAAUUUUAUCACAGCGAAGAGGGCCCGACGAUUACGUCGGUACUUUAGAACGAACACAUCGACUUCCCUCGUGCCACAACGAUAUGGUCGUUAACUCUCCAUUGCGUGGCAAAUUUUAUUUCGACGCGAAAAGUUUGAAAAACAAAAACGAUCAGAAAACAGCGCACAGUUCUACGAAUUUAUAUCCGAUAUAAUGAACAGAAAUUUGAUUACGUUUUCUAUCGAACAGCACUACGCUUCGUGAAAGAUAAAAUACCAUGUAAAAUGUAUAUAGCGUGUAAAAUGUCAGAUUUUAUUUGUAUCCGUCGUUACGAGAAGGCAACGCGAUACACUUGAGAGUUAAUCGAGCGGAUCUCUCUCGCAAAAAAAAUCACCUACGUUCGCCUACGUUGUAACGACCAUUCUUAUGCGAGCAGGAAAGGAUCGACGAAACUUGAGCCCCGUAACUAAUAUCCUAUAAGAUUUCGAAAGUUACUGAUAUCCAAAAUAAAAACAGAUCUACGGCAGAUCAAAUGCCGUCGUUGCGAAAAAAA